rnacentral:tRNA from 1 species
GGAGAAGUACCCAAGUGGUUGAAGGGACUCGCCUGGAAAGCGGGUAGGUUGUGAAAGCGGCGCGAGGGUUCAAAUCCCUCCUUCUCCG